rnacentral:rRNA from 1 species
UACGUAGGGGGCGAGCGUUGUCCGGAUUUAUUGGGCGUAAAGAGCGUGUAGGCGGUUCGGUAAGUCUGUCGUGAAAUCCUGAGGCCCAACCUCGGGCGUGCGAUGGAUACUGCCGGGCUAGAGGGUGGUAGAGGCGAGUGGAAUUCCCGGUGUAGCGGUGAAAUGCGCAGAUAGUCGGGAGGAACACCAAUUGCGAAGGCAGCUCGCUGGGACGUAACUGACGCUGAGACGCGAAAGCGUGGGGAGCAAACAGG